AUCCUUUGUAGUAAAUAAGCAUUGGGUUUUCAAGCACAUGUGUGAGAUUCACCUCCCUCAAACCUUGUUAUGACAACGUUGGCACAUUAUCCGUCUGACA